AAUGGGAGGAAGCCGCCUCUCAUGCAAUUCCACUUGAAGCACCCCGUCAAGAUCAGAAAUACAGAGACAAAGGAUAUCCAGUUCUGCUUAGUGCCAACCCCUCCAGGAAAGAUGACAUCUGAUAAGGAUUCAGAUAACGUGAGCAGCAGCCGCAACGAAGACUUAAAAUGCCGUAACGAAGAAUUAAAAGAAUUCAUCCACAAAGUUCAAGAAACUCAGUUUGCUUGCAGGAGUGGACUGCCUAUUACACGUGUAAAUUUUCAGGCACUAGACGAGUUCCAAUUUCAUGCUGCUUUUCCCACAGGUGUGCCAACUGUCUGUGCCCUGACUCGUACUAACCUAGUUGUGCUCAAAGAACCACCUUACCUUGUGGUCCGACUAUGUCGCUUCCAGAUUGUUAACCUGGCGUGCUUUAGAGAUGGAAUUGAAAUGACAGUCGUAUUCAGAGACUUGGAGCUUGAUGUUCUUCAACUUCGCUCAAUUCCCUUUGAAUUUCUUGCUGGAAUUAAACAUUAUCUGAACAGGAAAGACGUCAAGUACUAUGUGAACAAUUUGAGUCCAAACUGGAGUGACAUUGUGAGAGAAAUCAGAGAGUGCCCGGAGACCUUCAUAGCUAAAGGUGGAUGGGAUAUCUUCGAGGAUAGUAUUACUUUGGGCUACUAUCUGCCUGUCGUUUCAUAUUCAGAUCUAGAUUCCGAAAGUGCGAAGACUACCCUUUGAUACCUGAUGAAUUCUUGGACCCAAUUCUAUAUACACUAAUGAAAGAUCCAGUUAUCCUUCCGUCUCCAAGAAUUACAGUGGAUCGUCCCGUUAUCCAAAGGCAUCUUCUUGGUGUCAAUUGGGAUCCGUUCAACCAUUCUCAUCUUACUCAAGAUAUGCUUAUCCCGGAUGUUGAGCUGAAAGCAAGAAUUGAGAGUUCAUUAAGUCUCAAGGAUUAAAGAAACAUAGUUCUGAAGGGCUAAACAGGGAAGCAAUGCAAACCGAAACAGGUGAAAUGACUAAAAUACCUAGUUUUGUUUUCAUCAGUUUUAGCCGGUAAG